CCUACGGGAGGCAGCAGUAGGGAAUCUUCCGCAAUGGGCGAAAGCCUGACGGAGCAACGCCGCGUGAGUGAUGAAGGCCUUCGGGUUGUAAAACUCUGUCUUCUGUGAAGAACCAUCCUGUGCAGAGAAAGCUCAGGACCUGACGGUAACAGAGGAGGAAGCCCCGGCUAACUACGUGCCAGCAGCCGCGGUAAUACGUAGGGGGCAAGCGUUGUCCGGAAUCACUGGGCGUAAAGCGCGCGCAGGCGGUCUUUCACGUCCGGGGUGAAAGCCCAGAGCUCAACUCUGGGAUUGCCUUGGAUACGGGGAGACUUGAGGAUCGGAGAGGCAAGGGGAAUUCCACGUGUAGCGGUGAAAUGCGUAGAGAUGUGGAGGAACACCUGUGGCGAAGGCGCCUUGCUGGCCGAUUUCUGACGCUGAGGCGCGAAAGCGUGGGGAGCAAACAGGAUUAGAUACCCUGGUAGUCCACGCCGUAAACGAUGAGUGCUAGGUGUUAGGGGGCCCGACCCCUUACGUGCCGAAGCUAACGCAUUAAGCACUCCGCCUGGGGAGUACGGUCGCAGACUGAAACUUAAAUGAAUUGACGG
rnacentral:rRNA from 1 species